AUUAAUUGCAGGUGAGUUGUUUAUUUAUUUAAUGCAUACUUAAGGUGAUAUUUUAACUGUUAUUUAACUUUAUGCAUGAAAUCGUAACUUUUUUUUACUUUUCAUGAAAAGAUGGCAAUGAAAAACGUUGUGUUAAUAGUUUGUUUAUUAUAUAAAUGAACCUGUGUGUGUGUGUGUGUGUGUGUGUGUGUGUCUCUGUGUGUGUCUCUGUGUGUGUCUCUGUGUGUGUCUCUGUGUGUGUCUGUGUGUGUGUCUGUGUGUGUGUCAGGCUUGUGCACAAUUCAGAAUUGAAUUGAGAAUGACUCCUAAAUUCCAAUUCAAUUCUUGAAUUUGAAUUGAAUUUGAAUUGAUGUCAAAAACAGGAUCUAGAAUUACAAUUCGAAUUUGAAUUAAAGGAAGCAGAAUUGCAAUUCAAUAGAAAUUCAAAGAAAUUCAUAUAUAUAUUAAACAGUAAGUAAAGUGUUAAAAAUGAAGCUUUCAGUAUAUGUCAGAUAUGAUUGCAUUACAUAAACUAUAAAUUAUAUUAGUUUGAACUACUUGUACAGAUUACAUUAACAGAAAAUGUUUUCCCCCAGCAAUUAAUGUUCAAAACUCUAGUCACAUAACAAAUAAUUAAGUUAGAUUUUUUGUAAUUGUUAUUUUGUGGAACACGAUGGAACAUGAUUUCAUUUCCCAGAAUGUUUUACUUUAACCAAGUAUUUAAAAUGGUUUCCAAACAAUUUUCCAAAGUAACUUUCCUAACACUGAAUGUAAGUGAGAUUCUUUCUGUUUUGUUUGUGGAAUUUCUUUGAAUUGCCAUGAAUUUAAUUCCACUUCCUGUCAUUCAAAUUCAACUUCCUGUAGGGCAGAGUCAAUUCAAUUCAAAUUCCAAUUCAUGAAUUGAAUGGAUGCCAAUUCUGAAAUUCUGAAUUGUGCACAAGCCUGGUGUGUGUGUGUGUGUGUGAGUUAGUGACAUAACUAUUUACAUUAAACAUAUCAUUUAAAUAACAUCUUAAUAACAGUAAUAUUAAAUAACAUAAUAAAAAUGAACACUUAACGUUAACUUAAAUAACAAUUAAUUUAUAUUUGUAACUUAGGUGUAUUAACAAGAACAACAUUUGUGACAAAAAGGUGUAACUAAUUAACAAGAACAGCAUUUGUGACAAAACCAGUCAUCAUCUGGGAUUUCCUCCACCUCCGCACACUGAAUGUGGAACCAUAAGUGACACAGAUCACACUGAAGCCAUUCUGUAAUGGCUUCAUUGUUGGAGUCAGGAGGGACCACUCUCUUGCACAGGGCACAGUGCUCUCCAUCUUCCUCUGCAGUAGCAGUUCAAUAUAUUCGUCACUGGUGAUGACGCGGGCUGGCAACGGAAUGCGACGCCUAACCUUGUCAUUCCUCUCCAGGGCUGGGCUCAUGAGGACAUUGGCCAGAGUCUCGGGGAUUACACCUGCUGCCACCAGGUUGUGUGCUGGACUGUGCGGCUGAAAGAGGGGUGGAAAUGUUAGAUGGUGUGGCAGGACUCAUGUGUGGUGUGGCAAACGGAGUGGAGGGAAGACUGGAUGGUGUGUGGGGACUGCUGGAUGGUGUGGCUAAAGGAGGCGUGGGACCGACGGAUGGAGAUGGAGUUGCGGAUGGAGAUGGAGUUGCAGAUGGAAGCAUUCUCACCACCUAAAAAAAUUUAAACAUCUCUGCACAGAGGGAAGAUCCCAGCUUUGCGGAACCCAGCCUUGAUGUUUUGGGCGGUGACUGCACUGGGGUAAACAUGUUUAAGCAGCGGUGAAAACUGCUUCUUCCCCACCACAAUAUCUCCCCGCACCAAACCCAUCCUGGAUGCCAUGGUGGAGAAAGCAGUCUUCAGUGGGUUGAAGACUGCAAUGUCCAGGGGUUGCAAAAUGUGUGUAGUGUGUGCAGGUGCGUAUUUAACAAAAUGAUGCAGCCAUUUUAAAAAGAGCUCAGAAUCCAUAUACCCCUUAUCCUGGAUGCCAUAGAGGGCAUUGGGGGGCCCUUCCAGCCUGUAGGCAUUGCUUGGGAGGCAGCCGGGGUAAAUAAUGAAGGGUGGAGUGCUGUCCCCGGCUGCAUUCACACAGCAGUGCACUGUGAUGUGCUCUCUGGUUGUCUGCUGCUGCUGGUACACGUGCUUUUUUCCCAGUUGGCACAGGACCUUCUCCCUGGAGCGAGAGUUUAAAGAAACCCUCGAUGGCCUCCGGUGUAGCACCAUGGACCCUAGCUCUGUCCAGGGAAUCUGCUGUCCGUGAAGUCAACUCCGGAUGCCUGGCCUUGAAUCGGGACCACCACACGUCACUUGGCCCCUUCUCCAUAUUGACCAUGGUGGUAGCAGCUCUGCCACUUUCUUUUAUUAUCCCAGUAACCAGUACUUUUACCAGGGAUCAAUGAGAGUAGGGAAUCUUCCUCUCCUGGUGUCAGGGCCAAAUUGGGAUGAGGUUUGUGGGAAAAUUUAUUUAUUUUGUAGUCCUGCAGCGUGGUGUGGGGAAUACAAUAUUUUUUUGAUGUUGCCCUUAAACUUGCACCUGCCUUUACUUCUCCAACUGCCUUCUGUAGUAUCUCCCUGGAAUAUUGCUUUUUCUUUCCUGGCAUCUUUUUCUUUUACCUUCCUUUUGAAAUCAAAUAUUUUUUUAUCAAUUUUUAACAUUUUUUAAUUUUUACUUUGUAUGAAAUCUUUUUAACUUAUGAAAUAUUUUUAAUUAACUUAAGAAACAUUUUUAACUUAUAAAAUAUUUUUAACUUAACCUAUUAAGUAUUUUUAAUUAUGAAAUCUUUUAAACUUGAAUAACUUGUG